GCAAUAAUUUCAAACAGCAUGAGGAGCAUAUUACUAUAUAUAUUUGAAUAAGCAAUAGUCCAAAAGUGAGAAGUACUUUAAAUAUAAUAUUCAGAGAGCAUCUCCGCAUUGAAUAUUUACCACCAUAUUUACCAAUUAAGGAUUGAAAAAGCUGAGAUGGAGAAUUCAUAUUAUGUGCUUAGAACAAUUCAAAACAACAAACAGUUUUAAAUCUUUGAUCAUAACAGAAUAUAUGCCAUUGCAAAACCAUCAUAAAUCAGAUUGUAGGUUACAAAAAUCAUCCAAGAUACAGAUAUGGACUGAACCACAUCUAUCUAAAACAUCCAAAAACUUUGCGCCCUAACCACAACAGAUACGGAAAGACACAAAACAUGGCAUCGCCCAUUUCAAUAUUGAGGUCUCAAUCUACAGUUAUGUGGUUAGAAUUUGCACUUCCUUGCUACUUCCUCAAUCUCAAGCCAAACAAUAGAUAUAUGAAUUAAGUAAUCCAAUAAAACAAAGCGCUAUACUUGUUUCAAAAUUCCUAAAUUUUCAUCCAUAAAAAAACUAAGCCAAAAACAUGACCUUAUAGCAUGCGCAGAAAAAGAUAGAAAGGAAAGGAGGAAAGACCUUGGCGUCGCGGUAA
rnacentral:misc_RNA from 1 species